GCUGGUACCUAUCUUGGAGGUUGGCAGUAAGGAUUAAUUGAAGUAAAUUAUAUACAGAGGCUAUUACAGUGCCUGACAUUGCAGAAAAUACUAGUAAGUGAUGAAUCGAUGGAGCGAGAUGAGAGGAAGAAGAUGGAGAAGAGAAGAAGAAAGAGAGGACCACUUGUAAGCAGCCCCUGGAAGCAAAGCUUGCAGCUUUGAAACAGCCAUGUUAUCCACAGUGGUGAAGCAAUGUAGCUUCCUGGUCUCCAAAUCCAUGCAAAGCUAUAGAGCAAGCCCUUGGAGAGCCUUGAUGCUGAGCUGUCAGACAAUGCAGCAGGAAAUGAGUCCAUUCCUCCAG
rnacentral:lncRNA from 1 species